CAUGUCUCUUUGUAUAUUAUAAAUAAAGAGUCGGGCCUGCUCGGUGAACAACAAAUGUUUUAACAGCUGCGGUAUUUUAACUGUACUAAGGUAGCAUAAUAAUUUGCCUUAUAAUUUGAGGCUAGAAUGAAUGGUUUGACGAAGGUUAGACUGUCUCUAUUCUAUUUUUCAGAAAUUAAUUUACAAAGUGAAAAAGCUUGUAUUUUUCAAAGGGACGAGAAGACCCUAAUUAGCUUUAAUUUUAUUAAUUUUCUUUAUUAUUAUAGAAAGAAGUUUAUAUAAAUUUUAAUUGGGGUGAUUAAAGGAAUAAAAAUAGAGUGUCAGUAACUUCCUUAAACUAAAUAUUGUUGAGUAAAUUAACCAAUAUUAUUGCUUAUAAUAGAGUUACCAUAGGGAUAACAGSGUAAUUUAUUUUGAGAGUUCUUAUUGAAAAAUGAGAUUGCGACCUCGAUGUUGGAUUAAAGUAACCUUAAGGUGCAGAAGCUUUAAAAGGUAAAUCUGUUCGAUUUUUAAAACUUUAC
rnacentral:rRNA from 1 species